rnacentral:rRNA from 1 species
UACGUAGGGGCAAGCGUUGUCCGGAUUUAUUGGGCGUAAAGAGCGUGUAGGCGGCCAUGUAGGUCCGUUGUGAAACUCGAGGCUACAACCUCGAGACGCCGAUGGAACCAUGUGGCUAGAGUCCGGAAGAGGAGAGUGGAAUUCCUGGUGUAGCGGUGAAUGCGCAGAUAUCAGGAAGAACACCGCGCGUCAAGGCGGCUCUCUAGUACGGUACUGACGCUGAGACGCGAAGCGUGGGGAGCGAACAGG